rnacentral:rRNA from 1 species
AUGAGAGGGGAGAUCCAGGCGCCGGAGAGGAGGAAGAAGGUGGUCAAGGCCACACAUCAGCUGAAAGUCCUCCCCCCCCCCCCCGCCAGACAGGCACAUGUUUGGUUGCUGUUGAUCCUGCAUUACGGUGCACACAAUCUGUUUGAGGUUAAAAUGAUGGUUGUUCUUGGGGAGCUUGGAGGAAGUGAUGAGUAUUUGCUCCUCGAAUCUUUGAAACAAGGAAAGGUUCAGAAACCUGUUGUUGCUUGGGUUAGUAGGACGUGUGCAUGUCUGUUGAAAUCCGAGUCCAGUUUGGCCAUGCUUGUGCGAUGGUGGUGA